rnacentral:misc_RNA from 1 species
GUUGUGGUUGGGAUUGGGUUGCCGUGGUCCUUUGGUGUAAAGGAGGUAGCCGUGUGGGAUCCUUGGGACCAAGAGAGGCUGACUUGCUUGGUGAUAGCAAGUGCCGCACGGGAUUUUGAGGUUUUUGGGUUGAAAAAAAAACUGUCCCGUGACAGUUGGUAUCAGAGCUCCAAGGGGAGAAGUGUUUCGGCAAAAAUGGCAGAAGUAAGUGACAAGGCGCAGUGCAGUCCUUUGUUGGUGGAACAAGCAGCUAGUGUGAAAACCAAGUGGUUGGGCAAAUUCAUGAGCUCUUCUCAAAUAAGAGAGGAGUUGGGAAACCUUGCAACAAGGCUAGACAAGUUGACGCAUGAAAAUGAGGUUCAGAAAAAUGUUCAUGCCGAGGAGAUGGCCACCGUGAGAGAAGACAACCAUGUUCUUAAAGAAGAGGUAGAAAGAUUGAAGGGAGAAAUGGAGGAAAUGCGGGGAAAAUUUGUGAUGCUUGCAAGAUUGGUGGCCCGAAAAUGUGGGACCAAUCCUCACUCCACAUUCUCUACCCCUACGGCAAAGGUGGAGAGACCUAAGCCGUGCGCAUCCAAGAGUGAAGGAAGCGUGAAGGAAAACUUCCACAGCCGGGAGAAGGACCGAGGAAGAGGUUCAAGGGCAGUGUUGA